rnacentral:lncRNA from 15 species
AUGUCGCAGCACGGUGCCUGUGUCCUCCUGCUGCUGGGACACAGUGAACUGGCUCAGGUCCCGCCCGCUCCAAGUACACCCACCCACCCUCCCUCUAUCUCGGACCACCAGCCCCCCGCCCAGCCUACUGCCAGUCAGCCCAGCAGAGCCUCUGGCCACGUCUCAAAACACCGCCUGGUAUACAGACUGUGGAAGUACCGAGCGGCAGCUGGCGGAGGACAGAGGGGAGGAGAGGGAGGGACCGACCGACGGGCAGCUCGACCGAAAACAAAGCUAAAGAAAGCUAUCGGACGCACUUUCUGGGACAACGCAUCAGUAAUUUCCUCCUCGCAGUUCAGACACGGACGGACACUAGCUGCUGGUCCGGUGAAUAAAACUCAUACAGAAACUUAUCCGUACUUGGACCACACUCACAGUUGAUUGAACGUUUCAUUCAGACACAGGAGGCAACACACAGCUCCACAGAGGACAAAAAAGAGAAAGAUCCACAUCAAG